rnacentral:rRNA from 1 species
UACGUAGGGGGCAAGCGUUAUCCGGAUUUACUGGGUGUAAAGGGAGCGUAGACGGUGAUGCAAGUCAGAAGUGAAAGCCCGGGGCUCAACUCCGGGACUGCUUUUGAAACUGUGUAACUGGAGUGCAGGAGAGGUAAGCGGAAUUCCUGGUGUAGCGGUGAAAUGCGUAGAUAUCAGGAGGAACACCAGUGGCGAAGGCGGCUUACUGGACUGUAACUGACGUUGAGGCUCGAAGGCGUGGGGAGCAAACAGG